rnacentral:sRNA from 1 species
AAAUGGCGGAUCGAAUAGAUGGAUUCGCCGACGGCGAUCGGCGUCGGCGUCGACCGCGUCAGACGGAU